UGGGGAAUAUUGGACAAUGGGGGCAACCCUGAUCCAGCCAUGCCGCGUGAGUGAAGAAGGCCCUAGGGUUGUAAAACUCUUUCACCAGGGACGAUGAUGACGGUACCUGGAGAAGAAGCCCCGGCUAACUCCGUGCCAGCAGCCGCGGUAAUACGGAGGGGGCUAGCGUUGUUCGGAAUUACUGGGCGUAAAGCGCGCGUAGGCGGUUUAUCAAGUCAGGCGUGAAAGCCCCGGGCUCAACCCGGGAACUGCGCUUGAUACUGGUUGACUAGAGGCCGGGAGAGGGUAGUGGAAUUCCCAGUGUAGAGGUGAAAUUCGUAGAUAUUGGGAAGAACACCGGUGGCGAAGGCGGCUACCUGGACCGGACCUGACGCUGAGGUGCGAAAGCGUGGGGAGCAAACAGGAUUAGAUACCCGCGUAGUCC
rnacentral:rRNA from 1 species